rnacentral:rRNA from 1 species
UACGUAGGGUGCAAGCGUUAAUCGGAAUUACUGGGCGUAAAGCGUGCGCAGGCGGUUCUAUAAGACAGAUGUGAAAUCCCCGGGCUCAACCUGGAAACUGCAUUUGUGACUGUAGAGCUGGAGUACGGUAGAGGGGGAUGGAAUUCCGCGUGUAGCAGUGAAAUGCGUAGAUAUGCGGAGGAACACCGAUGGCGAAGGCAAUCCCCUGGACCUGUACUGACGCUCAUGCACGAAAGCGUGGGGAGCAAACAGG